rnacentral:lncRNA from 1 species
GUGAUUCCAAUUCUUGAGGGCUGGAUGUCUAGUUUGAAGGUCAUCUUGCACCUCAAAGGUGGUGGCUAGGGAUGUGUAUGACCUUUAUAGGGGAGACCUGAAUAGGAGGAUGGAUGGUGCCUGGAUUUAGAGGCUCGGGGUCUAGAAGGUUGCUUGGAGUCGACUCUCGAAAAAGGCACUAUUGAGAGGCCAUAGGAUGGACAUGCUGCCUACUUGUCCUUGUUACGGGCUGGAUGAUGAGAUGGUGGAGCACGCCGUCUUCAUUGGUAUUAGAGUUAUGCAAAUCUAACAAUUGACUAUAUCCUUUUCCAUGGUCAUUCAAUCAGAGCGGCCCAAAUUUUUGGAGGCACU